AAAACAGAGAUGAACGCUAGCGACAGGCCUAACACAUGCAAGUCGAGGGGCAGCACAGUGUAGCAAUACAUAGGUGGCGACCGGCGCACGGGUGAGUAACGCGUAUGCAACCUGCCUACAACAGGGGGAUAACCCGGAGAAAUCCGGACUAAUACCGCAUAAAACAGGGGUCCCGCAUGGGAGUAUUUGUUAAAGAUUUAUCGGUUGUAGAUGGGCAUGCGUUCCAUUAGUUGGUUGGUGAGGUAACGGCUCACCAAGACGUCGAUGGAUAGGGGAACUGAGAGGUUUGUCCCCCACACUGGAACUGAGACACGGACCAG
rnacentral:rRNA from 1 species